AUCCAUUUGAUGAAUCCCAAAUAGGACGAAAUGCGCAUCCAUGAU
rnacentral:hammerhead_ribozyme from 1 species